AACUAAACCUGAUCGAACGAAUGCCAUUUUUCGUGGCAGCAGGUAGAGCAGGGAGAAAU
rnacentral:sRNA from 1 species